rnacentral:rRNA from 1 species
CACGAACGCUGGCGGCAGGCUUAACACAUGCAAGUCGAGCGCCCCGCAAGGGGAGCGGCAGACGGGUGAGUAACGCGUGGGAAUCUACCCAUCUCUACGGAAUAACGCAUGGAAACGUGUGCUAAUACCGUAUACGUCCUUCGGGAGAAAGAUUUAUCGGAGAUGGAUGAGCCCGCGUUGGAUUAGCUAGUUGGUGGGGUAAAGGCCUACCAAGGCGACGAUCCAUAGCUGGUCUGAGAGGAUAAUCAGCCACACUGGGACUGAGACACGGCCCAGACUCCUACGGGAGGCAGCAGUGGGGAAUAUUGGACAAUGGGCGCAAGCCUGGUCCAGCCAUGCCGCGUGAGUGAUGAAGGCCCUAGGGUUGUAAAGCUCUUUCACCGGUGAAGAUAAUGACGGUAACCGGAGAAGAAGCCCCGGCUAACUUCGUGCCAGCCGCCGCGGUAACAC